ensembl:lncRNA
AUGGAUCCCGGCCGUGUGGAUCCCGGCCGUGUGGAUCCCCGUGGAUGCCGGCAGCUGGAGCGGCCCAGGGCAGCCCCUGUGCCGGGCUGGGCCUUGGCUGGCAGCGCAGGGCUAGGGGAGCUCUGCCCGGGGCCGAGCUGCCGCCGCCGGCUCUGCCCGCGCCUCAGGGCCGGAGCUCCCCGCGCCCCGAGCCUGGAGCCCGCUCAGCGGCACCAGCAUGUCGUGCUUGCCCCGCUUUGCCGGUUUUGGCCAUUGGAUUUGCUUGGGAGUCAAAGUCUGAGUUCAUUAACCUCAACCUCAACCUGCGUGAGGCUUCCAGCAACAUUCUUCCAUACUCUCACUAAAAACAGAUCAAUUACAGCAUAUCCUUUUAAGAAGUUUGAAAUAAAAUAUGCUAAGUAUAUUAAAAAUGUGCCAAGUACGUUACGCCCACUGUCAGUUUCAAUACCAGCAAAUUACCCUGUUCUGCAAGUCAUUGCCUAUCACUAUUCACAGACUAUGUGAAUAAACUUCUAGCUUUCAUUCAUUCUAGGCUCUGGAGCCUGCAGAUGGCAACUUUGGGAAACAACCUUUUGGCUGAGGGCUGUCCCCUCAUUUUUUAAAUGUUCUGCACAAGGGAUGGUUUUUGGGAUCGCUAUUAAUAGGCACCAGGGUAAAUGCCCCUUCUGUGGGAUGCUUCUGGGGGGCUGUUAUCAUUAUUCUCCAACUUUAACACCUCCAACCCACUGCAAAGCUUUCCUCUGUAGCUGUUAUCAGUAGGCUUCAGAGUUAACAUGCCAUCACCCAAGAAGGCUGUUUACUGGAAUGGCUGUUUUUUAAGUUUCCUGAGUGAAGACAAUGCCCCAAGUCUGGAGGAGCUGCCAUCAGUAGGCUCCAAAGCAUCAUCUAAACAAAACUAAAUUGUUAGCUUUGCACUGAUACAGGACACAGAGGAACGCAGGAGUUAAAAAAUGGAUGCAAAAGAUUCAGAUGAAUGCCACCAAGAACACAAGAACUGGUUAGGCCUCAUCAACUAAUGCUGGCAUUUUUAAUAUAAUCCAACAAGAAAUGUGAUUAGCCAGCUGCACUGGUAAUGUAUUAACUCUUGCCAGUCUUCUCAAUAUCUGCUUCACUUAUGGUGAGAGAGAAAGUUCAUAUAUAAUUUUUUUAGUGUAUCAAAGACUGAAAGUGUUAUGAAAACUGCUGGUUACCACUGCAUGAGUACUUGACCAAUGGAAGAAAAUUCUAUCUGUGUGUGUGUCUUUGAAGUUUAAGUGCCCUUCACUCUACAGAUCAGCUUGUGCUAAGGGACUCUUAUGUCUUCUAAACUGGUUUGCCACUUGUGCUGGUUUUGGAUGAAUUGACAUUUGGCGAGGAGGGAUGAAGCCACCCACAGAGAUGAUUUUUCUGGGAGGAGCUGCUAAGCUGUGCUUAGCAAAAACCAAUAGCUGGCUAGCUCUGAGAAUUGACAACCUAUUGAACGAUUUAGAUGCUGGGUCUGUCUCUGUGAAAUCCACAUUUUAAAGAUGGGCAAGCCUGGGAAAUAUCUCUCUUGCUUCCGGCGUUGAAGAGAUAACAGGGUGCUUGCCUCCAGGGAAAGAAGACCUCCGUUUCCAGAGAUGAAGGUGGUCACAGAGAUAGAUGAAGAGAACCUUUGCUUUUGAACAGCUCAUCCUUAAAUAAAGUACCCCAUAAGUUGACA